UAUAUUUAUUUAUUUA
rnacentral:tRNA from 1 species